GGAGGGUCCAUUUUCUUUCCAGCCAUCACUGGAGCAGCAUUUGGUUUUCUCCAACAGCAUUUUAAAAAAAUAUAUUGUUAGAAUUGUUUUUUUUUUUUUUACCAAAUAUUUAUACUUUUUUUUCAACUCUGCGGUAGAUUAUUUCUUUCUUUUGGGCGCAAAGAGAUCAUCUUCAUCGUUAAAACGGAUUCAAACAAGAGAAUCUCAUUGGUGAGAGGAGACACUCCAUUUCCUAACAUAACCCAAACACAGAGCUCCUCCUGUUGGUAAAGAGACUUCUUGGAGGCAGAAAGGUCCAGAAACUGUUUCUUCUCAAACAAUAACUGCACUAAUGUGCCAAACAUCCGACAGAUAAGCAUCAUCCGGAGUUCUUUGUUUCAGGGGCCCCGGAGCACCGCUCUGCUGAGCGACUGGGAGCCACAAAGGUGGAGCUGUGAUGGCAGGAAAUCACACGACCAGCAGGACCAGAUUCAGGUAGAAACCAGCAGAAACAGGCUCUUAAUUAUUUAUUUACUGUAGUCUAUUUACUGUAGUCGUUUUUAUUUUAGAUGAUAAAAUACAUUCAUCUGUUUCUCACAUAAGCACAGUAUUAGGCUGUAAAAUCCAUUUUCUCUGUUCCUUCUUUUAUUCUAAGCGUUUUGUGGACAUCUAUAGUAGAUUCGGGUGAUACUGUUUUCUUUUCUAUUUAUUCACAUAUAAAUGCAGCUUACUGGCAUAAACAGACCUAAAGUGACUUGUGUGUAUGAAUGUAUGUAUAUGUAUGUUGACUGUGUCUUAUCAAUAAUAAAAGUUUAAUCCACA